AGCGAACGCUGGCGGCAGGCUUAACACAUGCAAGUCGAGCGGGCACUUUCGGGUGUCAGCGGCGGACGGGUGAGUAACGCGUGGGAACGUGCCCUCUGGUUCGGAAUAACUCAGGGAAACUUGAGCUAAUACCGGAUACGCCCUUUUGGGGAAAGGCUUGCUGCCGGAGGAUCGGCCCGCGUCUGAUUAGCUAGUUGGUGAGGUAACGGCUCACCAAGGCGACGAUCAGUAGCUGGUCUGAGAGGAUGAUCAGCCACACUGGGACUGAGACACGGCCCAGACUCCUACGGGAGGCAGCAGUGGGGAAUAUUGGACAAUGGGCGCAAUCCUGAUCCAGCCCUGCCGCGUGAGUGAUGAAGUCCUUAGGGUUGUAAAGCUCUUUUAUCCGGGACGAUAAUGACGGUACCGGAGGAAUAAGCCCCGGCUAACUUCGUG
rnacentral:rRNA from 1 species